UAAAGGAAAAAAUUCAAGCAAAAAUAAGUUAUGACUUUUAAGUGGCAGAUAACCAGCGGGUCACCUUCUGAAAGCUGUUUUGACUUUGUGAGCAAGAAGGUCCUUAUGGAGUACUAGGCAUCAGCUAAGAUCCUUGAAAGGAACCAGGAUGCUGCCCAAGGAGUGUUCCAAGGUCAAUGAUCCCUAAUCAAGCAGCUACCACAGAAAGCAGGAUGGUCUGUGAGUACAACAGCAUGUGAAAACCACGUUGCUGAGGUCUACAGGUGCUCUGUGUAUAAGGACCAUGUGAAGUGUUAAAUAUGGGGCAUGAAAAUGGAGUUCACCAUGGACAUGGGUCUCUUGAGGCUACAAGCCACUGGAGUGGCAGGACCAAUCAAGAUUCAAACCAUCUGCCUAUGAACAGCUGGUUCUGAAAAAGCAGAAUCUUUUCUUUUGGAGAGGAGGAGCUGAUGUGGAACUGCAUCUCACAGGUUUUGCCAUCACCAGGGACCUGGGAGACCUGAGAACAAACCCUGUUAGAAAUGACUGAGACCUCAAAAAAAAAUGCAGUGGACUGAUGUGAAGAAAGAUGAUGGGGAAAAAAUAUUCCUACUUACUGUAAAAAAAAGCAUAUUGUGCUUAUGGAAAUGGUACAGAACCGAGCAGAAUAAAACCAUGUAGAGAGUAAGAAACUUAGACUCCUUCUCUAGGGUUUACAGUUCUUACAGUACUGAAAGGUGAGUGAUAACACUAUUGUGGGUGCAUGAACUGAGAUUCAUCUAAUUUAUUUUAAAAUACUUACAUUUGAGCUGCCAUUAUUUUCCCUUUGACAGCAUCGAGCAGAAAAUAUGUGCUUUGUGAGUUGAGUGAGGGUAGUUUGAGUGUCUGGCACACUCACAAUGCCGAUUUCUUUCUGUUGACUGCAUAAAGAACUUCUAGCAAAAUGCAGAAUAGCUAUCUCAGAUGUGGAGCUUUACAUGUCAGUAUCCAGAGCUCAGACAGAUGCAUCAUUGCUUCAUGAUUUUUUAAAUAUCCAGCUUCUCAAAUGAAUGAUAAAGUAAAAGUCUUGCCCUGCUUCAAAUAAGUGCUCAAAAAACACAGUGAAAGAAGACUGGUGCCAAAAUACUUCUUAAAAACAUAGUAUUUUUAGAAUGAUAUAAUGAUUUGUUUUUAAAGUUUUGUUUUUCUGGAUUUUGAAGAUUCAAAGUUGGUGAAUUGCUGUACCUGAGGCAGGUGCUUUACAGACAGCUGCAUGGUUAAAUAUAUGCACUCUGAGCAUUUUACUUUUGAUUAGCAAAUUGGGAACCAUAAUUACUUUUUCUUACUUUGCAUAAUUUUUCAUACCUCAGAUACCUUAGAUUAUAUCUUACAUCUGCUAGAGAAUAAAGUUUUUUGUUGAGUUGUUGCACAUAUUUAAAAAAUUUUGGGGAAGCAACUUUGUUUUCUGUUUGUUUGAAAAACAAUAUAUCACAUGCAGAAAACUUAACCAAAAUGUCAGUCCCUUAAAUUUAGUUGCUCAAAAGAUGAAGGUAAAGGGUGGAUCCUGAUUCAAAUGCUAAUGUGCUAAUUAAAAAAAAAAUCAUUUAAAUUAGGUGUCGUUAGUUGUUAAGUGGCAAGAGUCUAUUAAGAUCAUUUGGUCUGACCACCCAUAAGUUUACUGUCCUCAUCCUCUCAUCCUUCUGACCAUGAUAUCUUCCAGGAAAAAAAAUGUGAAGUCUCUGUUUGAUGACAAAAGAGAUUAUAUAGAUUAAAUCACUUAGUGGUUGGUGAAAAAAGAAUGUGAAAGGUCAGGUCUCCCCACACAUUUCUUCAUUCUCGAUUUCAGAGCAAAAUCAUUUUAUGUCUUCUAUUGUUCUUUUUAAUAUGAAAACUGAAAAAUAGUUUACAUAGGACUAUUAUUUGCUAAAUGUAUCUCCACUUUAUGAAAGGUACCCAAUAGCUGAUAAGUAUCCUCUUUAUUUUUUCUAUUAAGAAGCGUUGAGAUCUAAAAGCUACAUCCCCAAAUAUGAAAUUACUUUCAAAUAUGAGAGAAAAUGAAUAUGUUGAUGAAAACUCACAAGGUAUGUCCAGUACUAUACACUUGUUGGCUUUGUCGCUCAUUCACAACUUCUGCCUCAAGAAAAUGAGAACAAUGUUAUGUACGAAGGGACAAGGUAUAAAAAAAUUAUAAGGCUACUGAUUAGCUGGUACUGCCAAUAGCCACGGAAAGUAGCAGCAGACUCAGUACUAUGAUUUGUUCAUGUGGUAUGAAAAUGACAGAAAAUUCACAAUUUAAAAAAAUUCCUCACCACUAACACUUAGGAAUUCCAGAGAAAAACAAUGCAUGGAGCAGUUCAAAUAUUUGCACAAAUCUGAAUCGAAGAAAAAUGAGUGGAUGUUACCACUGAUGCAAUAGGUGAUGUUGACUGUCGAGCACAGAAGCUCUUAUGAUUUCAUUUAAAAAUGAACUGUACAAUGAGUUGGUUAUUGGUACAUGCUGAGUAAACUUUAGCAAAGUGAUAGAUUUCAUUCCAGUCAUUACGAUCAACACAGAUCCUGAAGUGUCAUGCCAAUGCUUAUAUUUUUAUUGAAUAUAAUUAUUGGUUUGAAUUGCAAAAAGAGUAUUUACAUACCUUCAUCUUUUUCAGAUACCAUUUUCUCACCUUUUUGCCUCUUUUGGGUUCCUCUUGCAGCUGCAUAUUUGUAAUUUCUGAUUUCUCUCUUCUCUGUCCUUUGUACUGUUGAUAGUCCAUAGACUUUGUGACAUAAUCUUGUAUAUAUUGAUUACAAGAGGAAAUUAUUCAAAGGGAGUAAAACCUGAAAGGUCACAUUUUGAGUCCUGUAUCAGUCAUCCUCCAUCUGAUACACUGCCCUUACGAAAGCAGAGAGUCUUGUUGUUUUUUCAAUGUGUUAACACACCAAGACUUGAGUAUUUGGUUGAUUUGCUAAUUUUUGAAUAUUACAACCCCAGAGUUAAUUCAAGUCAUUGGUGAUAUUUUCUUCAGAAGAUCCUCUUCUGGACACUUGAAAAAGAGAUUAGUUCUACUCCAGCCAUAUGCCUUUUCUGUUUCAUUUUCCACAGGUUUUUAAAAUUUUGAUGUUUAAUGUUUUGCAUAGUUGAUCUUGAUAUACAAGAGACAUUUAAGACUGGGAGUUUUUUCGUGCUUUUCUGUAAGGGGAAAAAAGGUAUUUUUACCUCCAUACAAAUGGUGCCUGUACAAAUGUCAAAGUUCAACAGUUACUGAGCUGCCAAAUCAAAGAGAAUUCUGCAACUGGGUCUGAAAAGAGCCCUUUGAAAUGGGAAUCAAAUGAACUUCUGAAUAUUGCAUGCCACUCAGUAAUAACAAAAAUUCAUAGCAGAAAAUGUCACUGAGCAGCAAAAGCUGAUGUUUUUGUAGAGUUACAGGCACAUAUUUUCCCCAGACGUCAUUAGUUGCUGGUAUUUCUAAACCAGGCUAAUGAGCACUUUAAGAAGGAGUCAAAUAAGUUCUUAUUUUUCAAAGGUUUUCAUCAAAGAUCUGAUCAGUUGAAAAAGACAGUUUUGAGCCCUUUCUUUAUUCCAGGAUGCACAGUCAGAAUGACACUUUAAAUUUGCAUAUAAAAAAACCAUUGCAUACCUUAAAAGUCGCCUUGGUAAGUAUGUUCCUCUUGCAUGUAAAAGCAGAUUUGCCUCAAUUUUUUUUUUCUGUAUUUUUUCAAGCUGAGGAGAGUUGCAGAGACAUCAUAUUCCUCUAUUAAUUUAUGGGACCACACCAGAAGUAGUCACAGAGAACAAAGAUUUUCUGUUAUCAAAAGGGACUAAAUUUAUUUUUUAAAAUGAACACCAUUUUUCUAUGCACAGUCAACAUAUCACAGCAUUUUUGCUGGUUCUAGCUAAUAAGAUUAUGAUAAUUCUUUCUAUUACUUAUUUUUCCAUUGAAAAUAACUGUGAUUUCAGACAAAACCCCUAAUAUAUAAAGCUUUUACUGUACUGAAAAAUAGCUUAUUCUAGUAGUCUGAAAAUGGGAUGUGUCCCUCUUAGUUCUCUUUGAACUUAUUAAAGCAAGAAAUUAUUUCAUUUUCUCAUAUUCUUCUAAUAUCUAUGGAUUGAUAUGGGAUGAAAAGAACCAAAAGCACAUUUGUAAAAGUACACAAAUCUGUGCUUCUUUCUUCCUCCUAAAUGCCCAGAGGAUGAUUGAACAGUGCCUUGACUGAGAACAGUGUACCAGAUGAUGACUCAUCACAUAGUCUGACCUUGAAGAAAUGUAAAAGGUUUUCAUUUUGUGCUUCUUUCCAGCCUGUUUCACGUGCUUAUGGUGCACCAGGAGGUGGUCCAGGCACUCUCAGGUUAGUGUGAAUAUCUGAAAGGCUUUGUAAGUUGAGCAGGAGAAAACUGGGAGUUGAGCAAAACCACAGACGUGCAAAUAGGUUGAUUGCUUUUAUCCAAUGAGUUGAAUUUGUAAGAAUCAAUGUGCAGGCUAAAGAGAAGCUGCUAUUUGCAGUGUAAAACAGGGUUACAUUUUAUUGCUCUUACAGAAACUAAAACUAUGCUGGAUAUUCUUCAGCACCCUCUACUGGUUUUGUAAUUAUUUACACAAAUACGGCAUUCCUGAAGGAAACCUUGAGCAAGCAAAUAAGAAGAAAAGGAACAAAAAAGAAUGCUUUUUUUUUCUAUCUAGAUUUCAAUAAUAAAUUUAUUUGAGUUUCUGCUUUUACCACCACAUAGUUCUCUACCUGUGUCUUUUUAGUGCCUUCAAAGUAGAGCUUUAUCCAGGUGAUUUAAGCCACCUCCUUGAGGAGCCUGUUUCUCUGUACAGUUUUACCAAGCACUCGCCCCUGCAUGUUAAGCCAGGACCCGUUAAGGCAAAAAACGUAGUUCUCUCUAGAUCAGUAAUACUGCUGUAUAAGGUUAGGAAUCAGAGUUAUGCUGCAAAUGCAAGAAGGCUGAGCUCCACAUCAAAACAAAAGGUGAUGGGACUAAGGUGAGAGCUGCAGGGCACUUGCUGCUUUUGGUAACACUAUUGCUAGGAAAUCAAGCACAGGGAAGUUCGGGGAAGCUCUAGAAAAGCCAGGUGACAAAAUAAAAACUGUUCCAUCUCACAUUUUCCAUUGAGAAGAUUCUUAUGCUGUACUUUGUAUAUUUUUAAACAAUAUAGUUUUUAUUUUUUACCUGAGAAAAUCCACAUAGCCUUUGUCGUGCUGUGUCUGAAAAGCCUGAUAAUGGAAUACCAAUACUCCGAAUGAAGCCCUAACUAGAGUGGAAAAUAUUUGCUCAAUUGACUUAGAGAAAAAAAUUGUCAUAUACAAAAUGUACUGCUGCAAAGAUUUUUAGAAAAUCAGACUACAAAGAUUAUGGAAAGUCAGACUGCAAAGAUUUUAGGAAUUCAGAAGGCAGCUGACUGAGAUUCAGGGUUUGGAAUGCCACUAUCUGUGGAAGUUUCCCCUUUGCAUGUUUCUGGCCCAUUUUAGAGUAAGGUGUCACACAUUGGAAGGUAUUAUGGGGAGUGAUAAAAUAUUAAUUUGCUCUAGCCACAGAUGGAUGUGUUCACCUAUCUACAAGGACAUUUUAUCAGGAGAAGAUCCUCAAGUCAGAGUAUGAAACCUUUCUCAUUAAACCAACAGAAAUUAUUUCUGCAAAAUAAAAAUGAGUGAAUUGCACCAAAAAAGAUAAGGAGCUUUUAGUUUCUUUGAUUAAGAUCUCUGCACCUAAGAAUGCAUUUCAAAUUACUAUAACAUCAUUGCUGUAUUUUAGCACUUAUUUGACAGGUGACACAUAGUUUAAGUAAGGCAAAAAUGUCUUAGAGCAACUUGUAUAUAAUAUCAAGAAAAAUAAAACCAAACUCUCUAUUAAAUAAAGUGUAGGAAAUCAGUCUGCUUUAAUAUGGGAUGAUGAGACUUGAUACUGGAAUUCUAGUAUAGUGGUUAUGUAAAGAGUGAAUUGCUCAUCAUAAAGAUUAAAUCUUCAUUGUGCUGUGGCAAGUGGCAAUGAACUGGCAAUCCAUCUGUUCUUGCUCUCUUCAAAUAUUAGAAUUUAUUACUGCAGAAAAAAAUAGCAGCUAAUUUUUGAACCAACCACCUGUAAAGAACAAGUCAUUGCACAGAUAAGAUGUGGUCCCCCCGCCCCCAGCUGCACCUUCAGUUAACUUCAUUCCCUCAAUUUGAAUGAGAGCAUAUUUCAAGUGGAAAGCAAUUAUAUGGCUCUGUGCCUUGUAUAACCUGUUAAAACCAGUAAUUUGCUGGCAUAAAAUUAAUUCUGUGCUCAGUUUACAGAUCUAACUAGCUUAGAGUAAGAACAUUUCUCUCUUCAAAAUAUAAAACUACUAGAGGCUUGCUUGGAUGGGUUUACUGUUUACAUUGUGCUUUCGUUGAAUAUUGGUGCUAAAACAGAUUUGUCGACAGCUGAUACGGCAGUGCCAUUAUGUAUUGACAGCGUAACAAUGCCAUUUAUUUUUCUACAGGCUUAUUUGUACAAGAUGACUUCCUCUGUUCUAUAUGUGUCUUAUUCCUUCUAUCUGGAUGGAGCCAGGAGUAGAAGUUAUACUCUGGAAGAGAGGAAUUGAACAGUGAUAAUGCACUCCUCUGCUGUUUCAAGCUUUAGUUAGUAAUUAUUUAUUUUCUUUCUCCAGGGUACUCUGUUGUGAUUGUAAAUACUUGGCCAACUCCCUUUGUCAUCUGAGAAGAUCCCAGACCAUCUUUUUGUGCAAUACAGCACCCCUGUAGAGUAGCUUUUUUUUUGGCUGUGUUGAAAAUGUGGGCUUUGCAUUUGUCAAAGAACAGUGAAUUGCAUUCCAAGCAACAUUGUUCAAAGCAGAAGGAACUUGCCAUGUUGUCUUCAUAUUUAAUUGAAACUUCACCUUUGUAUCUCCUUUCAGAAAUAAUGAAUACCUCGAUCACUUUUUUUAGCAAUGCAGCCUGUAGUUCAGGGAACGUGUCUUGCUCUUCUGGCAAAAACUUGGGCUUACAGAUGAAUCCUUAAGAAGGACAUCAGAAGUUAUCAUAGAAUGGUUUGGGUUGGAAGAGACUUAAAGACCAUCUUGUUCCAAUCCACUGCCAUGGGCAUGGACACUUUCACUAGACCAAGUUGCUCAGAGCCCCAUCUGUCCUGGCCUUGAACCCUUCCAGGAAUGGGGCAACCACAGCUUCUCUGGGAAAGAGAAGCCAGUGUGUGCCAGUGCCUCACUACCCUCACAGGGAAGAAUUUCUUUCUAAUAUCUAAUCUAGCCAUACUCUCUUUCAGUUUGAAGCCAUUCCCCCUUGUCUUGUCGCUGCAGGCCCUUGUAAAUAGUCUUUCUUCGUCUUUCUUGUAGGCUCCCUUGAGGUACUGGAAGGCUGCAAUUAGGUCACCCCAAAGCCUUCUCUUUCCCGGGCUGAACAAUCCCAAUUCUCUCAGUCUUUCUUCGUAGCAGAGGUGCUCCAUCUCACUAAUCAUCCUUGUGACCUCGUUUGGACUCACUUCAACAGACUGAUGUCCUUCCUAUCUCAUCUGAGUAAUCUCAACUUGGGGGGCACUGUGGUUUACCAGCAGAACAGUUAUGUUAUGUGCCAGCAGAUUCAUUAAAGCUUCUUAUGAUGGAAAAAAGCCUAGUAUUUAAAGCUGGAUGUAAAUGGCCACCAACAGAUUUAAGAGAUGAUGUUUCUCAGGUGAAAUGCCUUUUUCAGAGUUGGAGAACACUAAAGAGGGGCUCUGACCUUCUGAUGAGACAGUAUAAAAGCUCCAGAAUCAAAGAAUCAUAGAAGAAAAGAAUGGUUUCAUUUGGAAGGGACUUCAAAUAUUAUCUAGUUCCAACUCCUCUACAAUGGAUAGGGGCACCUUUCACUAGACUGGGUUGCUCAGAGCUCCAUCCAACCUGGCCUUCAUGGAAAGUUAAAAACCAGGGUGAAUCAUUAUAACAUUUGUUUUUUUUUUUUCCACUAGCCUCCUUGGUUUUAUACCAAAAGAAAAGGUUUUAAUAAGUUCAUUGUUAAACUCUUGCAGUGUUUGCACUGGCUAUUGCUUUCUCUUUAGAGGUGUUAAAGGGUUCAGCCAUUCAGAUGACUGGAGCUGUAAAUACAAGGGAGGAUGUCAGACAAAGAAUGUGCACCUCAGAAAUGGAUAAAAAACAGAGAUAGGGUCUGAAUAAUACUUUAUCUAAGCAGAUUAAGAAGCAAAUGGUAUCCCCUUUGAUUUCAUACAGCAAACUGAAGAUCUUUUCUAUGAAUCUAAGCAAGGUUUCCUGAUCUGAAAUAUGCUUUUAGUCUAGCUGACUACUUUACUUCUGUAUUAGAAAAAUGGAGUUGUGAAUAUUUAUCUGUUCUUUUAUGUGGGAAAACAUGAGAGUUGCUUACCCAGGAAUAUUUAUGAAAUUCAGACAUUCUAUCAGAAGUAGUUUAGGAUAAGCACAGAUGGUAAAUUCGUUACUCAAAACUGAUGAAUCCCCAUUUUAUUUUCAGGGAUGUCAAUAAGGAGCCAACAGUUUCUUGAGGUGAUCUUGUUAAUUUUGUAUUCAGGUUUUACGAUUUAUCUUCCAGGCUCUGAAGAGCAAUUAAAUUCACCUAUGCUAAUCAAAAGACUUAAUGAGUAUCAUAAGUUUUGCUGAUAAUGCCGCUCUUUUCUUCUUUAGGUAGCUUCCUUCACUGACAGUGCUAUAGACUUUAAGCACAUAAAUGUCACAAGUUCAGAAUGGCUGGGGUCACUAAAAUAAGAAGUCCAUGGAACUACUGAAGCAAGUCCAGAAGAGGCCACAGAGUUGCAAAGGGGACUAAGAAUACCUCCCCUAUGAAGACAGGAUGAGAAAGCUGGGGUUGUUCAGCCUGGAGAAGAGAAGGUUGUGUGGAGACUUCAGAGCAACCUUUCAGUCUGUGAUGGAGCCUCCAGGGAAGCCAAAGAGGGACUCUUCAUCAGGAACUUGAGAAUUUUCCCAGCGUGUUUCUGAUCUAACUGUGAGGCUCCAAAAGAAGCAGCAGGGCUGGAGUUGGUUUGUGACCUGCGUUAUGAACGCAGAAAAUCAUCAAUGGCUGGUGAGGAGACGGGUGUGUGAUGCUUGUGUGCACCCCACAGAGAACAACAGCGGAACACCAGCCUCAGACCUCCAUUUCAACAUGCCCUGGCCAUGUGCACUCACGGCCCAGCAACCCCCUGUGUCCAGGGCUCAUCCCCAACACUGUGGGCAGCAGGGCAGGGGGGGACUCUGCUGCUCUGCUCCGCUCUCAGGAGACCCCGCCUGCAGUGCUGCCCCCAGCAGUGGGGUCCUCAACAUGAGAAGUCCAUGGAACUGUUGGAGCAAAUCUAAAGGAGACCACAAAGUUGCAAAGGGGACUAGAGCAACUCCCCCAUGGAGACAGGCUGAGAAAGUUGGGGCUCUUCCCAAGCCUGGAGUAGAUGGUAUGGAUGCCUCAGAGCAACCUUCCAGUCUGUGAAGGAGCCUCCAAGGAAGCCAGAGGGGGACUCUUCAUCAGGAUCUGUAGUCACAGGACAAAGGGGUAUGGCUUCAGACUGAAAGAGGGUAGGGUUAGACUGGAUGUUAGGAAAAUAGUCUUUAUUGGGGGGUGGUGAGGCAGUGGCACAGGUUGUCCAGAGAGGCUGUGGAUGCCCCAUCCCAGGCAACAUUCAAGGCUCAGUUGGACGGGGCCUGGAGCAACCUGGUCUGAUGGAAGGCUGGUCAGGUUGGAAGGAGAUGAUUUUUAGGGUCCCUUCCAAGCCCAACAUCCCACGAUUCCAUCAUUCUGUGGUCCCCAUCACCCACACUGGAGUGGCCCUGGGCCUCCUGUGACAUCCCAGCUGCCAGAGCCUGUGUUCCAGCAGGAACUGCGAGUGCCCGGCGAUGAGCACAGCACAGCCACUCGCCUGCUGCCAGCGCUGCCUUCGGCUGUGCCAGCGUGCCCUUGUCAGCUGCCCCUGCUACGCCCGCCAGUCCUGAACUCCACCUGCUGUCUGGAGCUUGGCAUCCACUCCUGCAGGAUGGGCACCCUCAUCCCAAAGAAGGUACACUGCCAUUCCAUGGAGCUGGGCCCCCACGCCUGCCCGAGUGAGAUGGAGAACUGUGGGGAUGGUGUGGGACAGGGACCCCUCUCUGAGGUUGUGCCGCCUGAUGCAGGUUGAGAGAGACACGGAAGAGGAGAUGGAAGUUGACAUGGUAGUGGCUAAGGAAGAGAUGAUGGAGGUUGACUUAGAACAUGUUGUGGAGGAGAUGGAGAUCAAUUUGGAAGAGGAUCUGGAGGAGAUGGAUGUCGAUCAGCACGAUGAGGAGGAGGAGAUGAUUUUGGGAUGAGGACAGACCCUCCAGCAGCAGGACAGGCAUGUUUGCCCCAUUCCCUGCCCACAGGGAGAGUGGGUCUCUUGCUGCCAGGCUGGUGCAAGGCUGUGCUGUGUGACCUCCCUCAGGGACACAGUGCCACAUCCCUGGAUUCUGGUGGCACAGCCACCACCCCUGCCCUGCCCUGUGCCUGCUUUGGGCCACAUGACCCGUGUCCCACCGCCUGGAGCCUGGCUCCCAUCCCCAGCCAGGCUCAGUCCUGGUGGCAGAGGCCCACUCUGCCCAGCAGCUCCCAGGCUGGUGGCACAUGGAACACCCAGCAGGGCCUGACUGGAAUGACUUGCUUUUCUUCCAGGACUGACGGACAUGCCGGAGAAGAAAUUGACCCUUGUACAUAUGUUUUAGUUGUUGUUUCAUUUUCCUCCUGUAAAUACGUUGGAUAGACUUUUUGCUAUUAGAUAAGUUGAAUUGUAAAUAUGUUUUGUAGGUGGUUGUUUUUAUAAAGAUUCUUAUAAUGUAAAUACGUUCUGUAGUUCGUUGGUUUUGCUGCUCUUCUGUAAAUAAAUACUCUUUGUUUUUCACA